rnacentral:tRNA from 1 species
AGCAGUGUGGCUUAGUGGAAAGAGCCUGGGCUUGGGAGUCAGAGGUCGUGGGUUCUAAUCCCAGCUCCGCCG